rnacentral:lncRNA from 15 species
CUGUUUUAAUUAUGGCUAUGAAAAGUCCCAUAUCCCUCCUCUUCAGCUGCACUCCUCAGCCCAUAUUAAGGCCCUGAGAUAACGUGACCAUCCAUGCUGCUGUCAGGUACUCCUUCCUGUUCCCUCUUAUUUAUGUUAAGUUGUUGCUUAGGCAGGUACUAAGAGCUGGAAGGUUGUGCUGUAGUUCAACACAACCAUUAAGAAGUUAAUGAGUUAGACAUAUAAUGGCAGUGAGGAUCAGAAGGGGAUCUAUAGUACUGCUGCGUUGGAUGUAUGUGAGGUCCUGUUGUCUUUGCGUAUCAGCUGUUUGGGAAAAUUUUGAAAGUUUUCAGUGCCACAUGUAUUUAAUUAUGACUCUAAUUCACUUUAGUCAGGAAAAGAGGAAUGUCCCCUUACUGUUGUGAUCCCAGUAAAGUAAAAUUGUGACAGUGACACUUGCUGAUAUUUUUACAUGUGAAUAAACCCUUUUGUAAUUUUUUUGUGCACUAUUACUGACAAUAUAGGUGUAGAUCAAUGGGGAUUCAACAGUAACCAUACAACUGAAUAUACAUAGUCAUUUGCCAGUUUAUUAGGUACAGCUAGCUAAAACUAAUGCAGUCUAAUCCUAAUUUCACAAAGGUUAUAUGUUCAGCUUUAGUUGAUUGAACUGUGUGAUUAUUUUGCAGACGGAGCCAGCGGAGGUGGCGUCCUGCAUGUCGAGCUGCUCUCAUUGGCUGUGCAGUUUCGACUUGUCUGUAGCAGGAAACACAGGCUGGACUGGUCACUCCAGAUCUUGGGAAUACAGCUAAACAAUGCACUAUAAUAUGUUUCUGAAAUGAUUUUAGGAGCACCAGAGUUUGAUGGGCCAUCCCAGACGCCGGUUGACAUUUUGUCCCCAGUCCGACCGGAUGCCACAUAAAAAAUUCACUCAGGCGAGAAGCCAGGAGGAAUACCCAGCUCCCUCCACCCCCGGCGUGUGCCUCUCAGUGGGGAGUGCAAGAAUCAGGAGGAAGAGGCCCAGGAUGCUCCUCUACCCCCCACGUUGUCAUUUCAGACAGUUAUGGACCCAGAAAUGGCAAAAAGCAGCUGCUCCUCUGACCAUAAAGCCCUGAGCCGAGCCCUUAAUUGUUCCUCUGUAGAGAGGGAAUUAUUUCCACCCAGGCCCACCCUGGGGAAGAGCAGAUGAGGAAAGAAGAGGAGGCAGGAAGAGGAGGGGCAGGAGGGGAUGUGUGGAUGGACAAAAUGGCAGGAUGGAUGGCAAGGUGUGGGCAGAUUUUGGCACAGCCACCUGAGGGAGUGGGUGGCAGGUUGAGAAGUCUCCCUCAUUCACAGCUUCUCUGGAAGCCAAAGACUUGAGACUGAAACUGGGUCAUGACUGAAAUCAGGGUGAUGUGUAUGGGAUUUAGAAUUUAUUUGAUUGUAUGUAGGCUGGUACUUUGCAGGUUUGUCUUUUUAUAUUUUAAACCACCAUAGUUUAUUCAGGUUAGUGCUAUUUAGACUCAGAUUACCCUUGUUAGAUAGUUCUAUGUAUUGGCCAUGGAAAAUGUUUUUUAAUAGUUGGCAGGUUGUAUAACAGGACACAUUUCUGGUCAACAGUUUCACCAGUUAACUGUUACUGGUGACACUGGCCUCAGCAUGGGUUAAAGGAUCUUAAUAAAAUGUUCAUGUAAGAUGGAUCGCUGUUAUUAUUCCUCCUCUACAGACUGCCUGUGAGAUAGGCCUGCACAAUAUAAGGAAAAUCUGUGAUGGGAUGGCAAUAUAACAAUUAGCUAUACAGUUCCUAUGUCAGCCUGGUUGUCUUUAUAUUCAGAACUGAAUAAGAUUCGAUUAGAAUUGAAUAAUUUAAAUAUAACUAAAUGUUGUUUGUAUAGCAGCAGUGAUGUCUACAACAGCAAAGUCACUAUAUAAACUCAAUAUCUCACUGGAAACAAACCUAAAAUCUCAAUAAAAUAAAUCAUAUUCUUGACAACAAAAUAUUGAGUGUAAAAAUAAUGAAGAACACAGUCAUCAGUCAGUUCAUAGUUUGGGUACCGAAGCUCAGUUCCAUACGACGAUGGCCGAUCUACGCAACCCAGAAAACAGGCUACAGGUUCAUCGCCACACGUCUCAUCCCUGGUUAACAUUACCACAACUUCCUUUUACUUGAAAGUAUUCCAACACCGGCCGGACAAAUGUUUAAAAACAACUGCGUGUGAAUCUGGCGACACACAGGAUACACUUGAAAGCAGAGCGGUGUACCAUGCUCAACCGCCUGCGUAACCCCAUGCCAAACACAUCAGCCGGCAGCGUGGGCGUCCCUGGCCCUGGUCAUGGAGGGCAUAGAUACGAAGCUGCUGUCUCAGCCAGCAACUAAGUUUGAAUCGGUUUGAUGUGUGGAAAACUAAGCUAAAGACAGCCUGUGUUGUAGCUUGUUUGUAAUAAUUCACAAUUAGCCAAGCUCGCACGUAGCGUUUGUGUAAAACAUGGCAGUGUUGGACGAGAGACUGUGGACAGAGCACCGAUACCGCUUCUACAUGGGUACAUGUUUAUGCUUGUUGAACAGGUAUGAUGAUAAUGUUAUAUUGAAAGUGUUUUAUUGCAUCUGCGUUCAAUAAUGAGCUAAGUUGUCGCCAACUCGAGCAAGUUUGCUUCACUGUCUCAACCCUGGACAGUCUGAUCUGUUGUCCACUGACUUGGCUGUGUUUUUGUGUGUGUAUGUGGAGGAGCCAGGGGAGAGGCUGCAGUGUGACCAUAAAUACCACAGUGUUUAGCCCCAGGGCCCAUUAAAUACUGGGUUUCUGUACCCAUUUCUAAAUAAGAUGAUCCUAUUCAUCAUCUAUCGGGCAGUCUUUUGCUAUGUGUUCAUCAUGCAUGUUUAUAUAGCAAUGAUGAUGAAAAUAUGAUUUAUCUGUCAGUCCUACUGUGAAGCAAUACUUUAAUGGAAUAACUAAACUAGAAAUGGGGGUCAUAUGGCAUUUGAGUAUUGAGUUAAACCAGCUUGCCUUUGUAGCUGU